CUGCUCUCUCUUCAGCCCCUAGUGCGGGCAAGUCCCUUAGCAGCUCUUACACUGCAUACCUGUGUCUGAGUACUCCUUUCAUCCAUCGCUCAGCCAGGGUGUGUGGGACAGACCUGGCAGCUGGUGCCUGCUGUGAGAAACACUACAACGGAUUGCAAUGGAACCCUCAAAAAUGAGGGUGAAGAGUCUGCGCCGUCCGAUGCAAAGCUGGAAAACGAGCUGUAGCCGCUACACCUGACAAACCCGUUGCUGCACAUAUAUGUACUCUUCAAUCAACAAGACCUGAUGCAAAAAACAGAAAAGGGGAAGAUGUGAGGGAUCAGUCAGAGUGGUGGGCUCAAGAGUGGACUUAAUGAGGGCUGUCUCAAGGUUCUGUAAUAAAUAAACAGAGUAAGCAGUCACUAACAA